UACGGAGGGGGCUAGCGUUGUUCGGAAUUACUGGGCGUAAAGCGCGCGUAGGCGGACCUGCAAGUCGGGGGGUGAAAGCCCGAGGCUCAACCUCGGAACUGCCUUCGAUACUGCGGGUCUCGAGUCCGGGAGAGGUGAGUGGAAUUCCUAGUGUAGAGGUGAAAUUCGUAGAUAUUAGGAAGAACACCAGUGGCGAAGGCGGCUCACUGGCCCGGUACUGACGCUGAGGCGCGAAAGGCGUGGGGAGCAA
rnacentral:rRNA from 1 species